UACGGAGGGGGCUAGCGUUGUUCGGAAUUACUGGGCGUAAAGCGCACGUAGGCGGCUUUGUAAGUUAGAGGUGAAAGCCCGGGGCUCAACUCCGGAAUUGCCUUUAAGACUGCAUCGCUAGAAUUGUGGAGAGGUAAGUGGAAUUCCGAGUGUAGAGGUGAAAUUCGUAGAUAUCAAGCGGAACACCGGUGGCGAAGGCGGCCUUCUGGACAGUGACUGACGCUGAGACGCGAAAGCGUGGGGAGCAAACAGG
rnacentral:rRNA from 1 species